rnacentral:lncRNA from 1 species
CAGUGCGCCAGCAUGGCACAUGUAUACAUAUGUAACUAACCUGCACAAUGUGCACAUGUCCCCUAAAACUUAAAGUAUAAUAAAAAAAAAAAAAGAAUCUUCAAACCUAAUGCCUAGAACAUUUUAUCAACAUUAAACUUCUAUUUAAAGUUUAUUCUUAGCUAUCUAUAAGAAACGUUUACUAGGAAGCAGAAAAAAUAAGCUCUUUCUAAAAGAGUAUAUUUGCAAUUUGAACUUUCAAAAAUUGAUAAAGCAGUACACACAUUUAUUUUUAGAAAUUGAAGCUGCAAAGCUAAGCAAUUUCCUACUAUGACAUGUGUGUUGGACAGUGUAGGGCAUAGCAAUGAUUAGUGAUUUUCAGCAGCCUUUCUUGAAUAGGCAUUGAAAAUAGCUAAACAAAAAAAGAGAAAUGAGCUGAAUUCUUGGAGUUAAUAUUUUGGAGUGAAUUAUAAAACAGAGUUCUUGCAAUAAUGCAUGUAAAUUAAAAAUAGGUUAGCAAAGCAUGAGUAAAAAUAGUCAAUUUUCAAAUACUUUUCACAGCUCUCCGAGUCUGACAUAUUUCUCUGGCUAAAAGGGAAGAAACAUAUCGGCACUCAUGUUGGGAAGACCUUAGAACAGCAAAGUACUAAAACUUGCCAAACCAACUUCAAGUGGCUUUCUUGUUAGUGCAAUACACACUGCACUGAGUUCCUGAGCAUAAUAUUUCCACCCUUUCCCACGGAGUCUGCUUAAAUUUGAAGAUUUUUUUUCUAGUAGGUGUAUUGUCCUUAAUUUUGGAGGAAGUUUUAAAAAGGUGGAUUAAUGUUAUAUAUGCUUCCGAGAAUAUUAUGCAACCAUGAAGCUUUGCACUUCAACAUAAAUGAAUCCCAAAAAGAGCCAGAUGAACUGUUGGCUGGGAGGCAGAGCCUUAGGAUGUUUCAAAUUCAUCGUGACUUCACAUAAAGGUCCUCUCUGGAGUAUGAAAGUCAAUUUUACAGGUGUAAAAUAAAGGAAAAGACGACAGUCUGAAAGUCAAACGAAAUUCCAGGACCACCUGUAUUUCAGUGAGCAGGAACUGUACUAGGAGAAGGAGCCAGAAAGGUGGUGACAUACUUUUCCUUUCGUGGGGAAACAGUCUAAUGGAGAGAAGGACAAGUAAGAAACCACAAAGUGUAUUUUGGAAAAGAAACUCCUCAGACCAAAACAAUAACAGCAACAACAAAAAACUGUUUUCGUUUGGGAGGAGGACCAAAAGGAAGGAAUAAGGGUCAGGCACUGACUCUACAGGUUGCCUCUCAUAUCUCUUCAUCAUAUAUACCUCUUCAAAUUCAAUCGAGAUUUCAAUUCGUCUCACUUCUCCCCAACCUUACUCUGAUCUCCUGGUAAUUUUAGAGUAAUUGAGAAUAUUUUCUAACAUACGUGUCAACAUAAUGAAGGAGCUGGGACCUAAGUGAAGAAGCGACAAAAUUUACAGUGGCUUUGAAUGCUGGUUCCUGAAUGGAUUUGCUUGACUGCAAUUCAAUCUUUUUUGUGGCUCAAGGCUCACUCACCUCUAAAAGGCACUUUGUUUGUCAGAAUCGAUUUAAAUCAAUUUCUGUGGAAAUUAAAAUUAAAUAUGGUAUCCCUAAGAUUCUUGCAUUUAUUUCAAUUUUUAAAUUAUUGAUUUAUACAUGAUUUUUAUGCCCCAUCAUUAUAUGAACAUUUAUAUAAUUAGUG